AGUGAACGCUGGCGGUAGGCCUAACACAUGCAAGUCGAACGGCAGCACAGUAAGAGCUUGCUCUUACGGGUGGCGAGUGGCGUACGGGUGAGGAAUACAUCGGAAUCUACUUUUUCGUGGGGGAUCACUUAGGGAAACUUACUCUAAUACCGCAUACGACCUACGGGUGAAAGCAUGGGAUCUUCGCACCUUGCGCGAUUGAAUGAGCCGAUGUCGGAUUAGCUAGUUGGCGGGGUAAAGGCCCACCAAGGCGACGAUCCGUAGCUCGUCUGAGAGGAUGAUCAGCGACACUAGAACUGAGACACGGUCCAGACUCCUAAGGGAGGCAGCAGUGGGGAAUAUUGGACAAUGGGCGCAAGCAUGAUCCAGCCAUACUGCGUGGGUGAAGAAGGCCCUCGGGUUGUAAAGACCUUUUGUUGGGAAAGAAAAGCAGCAGGUUAAUACCCCGCUGUUCUGACGGUAACCAAAGAAUAAGCACCGGCUAACUUCGUG
rnacentral:rRNA from 1 species